AGGGAAUAUUGGACAAUGGGGGCAACCCUGAUCCAGCAAUGCCGCGUGAGUGAUGAAGGCCUUAGGGUUGUAAAGCUCUUUUACCCGGGAUGAUAAUGACAGUACCGGGAGAAUAAGCCCCGGCUAACUCCGUGCCAGCAGCCGCGGUAAUACGGGGGGGGCAAGCGUUGUUCGGAAUUACUGGGCGUAAAGGGCUCGUAGGUGGCCAACUAAGUCAGACGUGAAAUCCCUCGGCUUAACCGGGGAACCGCGUCUGAUACUGGUUGGCUUGAGUUUGGGAGAGGGAUGCGGAAUUCCAGGUGUAGCGGUGAAAUGCGUAGAUAUCUGGAGGAACACCGGUGGCGAAGGCGGCAUCCUGGACCAACACUGACGCUGAGGAGCGAAAGCCAGGGGAGCAAA
rnacentral:rRNA from 1 species